rnacentral:rRNA from 1 species
GCGCGAAAACUUUACAAUGCUGGCAACAGCGAUAAGGGAACCUCGAGUGCCAGGUUACAAAUCUGGCUGUCGAGAUGCCUAAAAAGCAUUUCAUAGCAAGGGCCGGGCAAGACCGGUGCCAGCCGCCGCGGUAACACCGGCGGCUCGAGUGGUAACCGUUAUUAUUGGGUCUAAAGGGUCUGUAGCCGGCCGGAUAAGUCUCUUGAGAAAUCUGGCAGCUUAACUGUCAGGCUUUCAGGAGAUACUGUCUGGCUCGAGGCCGGGAGAGGUGAGAGGUACUUCAGGGGUAGGGGUGAAAUCGUGUAAUCCUUGAAGGACAACCAAUGGCGAAGGCGUCUCACCAGAACGGACCUGACGGCAAGGGACGAAA